rnacentral:rRNA from 1 species
AGUGAACGCUGGCGGUAGGCCUAACACAUGCAAGUCGAACGGCAGCACAGUAAGAGCCUGCUCUUACGGGUGGCGAGUGGCGGACGGGUGAGGAAUACAUCGGAAUCUACUUUUUCGUGGGGGCUAACGUAGGGAAACUUACGCUCAUACCGCAUACGACCUACGGGUGAAAGCAGGGGAUCUUCGGACCUUGCGCGAUUGAAUGCGCCGUUGUCGUAUUAGCUAGUUGGCGGGGUAAAGGCCCACUAAGGCGACGAUCCGUAGCUGGUGUGAGAGGAUGAUCACCCACACGAGAGCUUAGACACGGUCAUGACGCCUACGGUAGGGAGCAGUGGGGAAUGGUGGACAAUGGGCGCAAGCCUUAUCCAACCAUACCACGUGGGUUAAGAAGGCCUUGGGUGUGGAAAGCCCGUUUGUUGGGAAAGAAAAGCAGCAGGUUAAUACCCCGCUGUUCUGACGGUACCCAAAGAAUAAGCACCGGCUAACUUCGUG